AAAAUAAUCAAACUGCCUGCAUAAGAAUUUUAUCUGUUUAUUUUUUCAGGUCAAUGAUAAUGGAAAUGCUGUUGUGGCUACAAGAUUUGGACAACUUCUAGGAAACAUUUGGAACAAAUGAGAUGGGAAUAUGUAAACAAAAUUUAAUUCUAGAAGAGGAAAUUAAUUGUGAAACAACUUUAAGUGUACGUGAGGCAGCAACCCAUCAGUCAUUAUCCGGAGGUCAAGUAUUUUUUAAAUGUUCUUGUAAUUCGAAAUGUUUAAGUAACCGGUGCAAAUGCAAGAAAAACGGGAGAAAGUGCAAUAGUCGGUGCCACAGUUCGACAACUUGUAAUAACAAAUGAUUUUAACACAAAUUUGUAUGAAGUUU
rnacentral:lncRNA from 1 species